rnacentral:lncRNA from 1 species
GUAAUAAUUGGCAAAUUUAGUGUAUUGCGUUCAUUACAGUUUAUUUAAGUAAAUAUUGUAAUAUUGUUUUCUAUGGAAAAAUAACAUCAAAAAUAGGGUGCACACUGUAUUACCGCGUAGUGGGCGCAAAACAUUUGUUUAGGUUAUUUUGAAUAGACAGAAUAGAUGUCACAUUCUAAUUUUCAUUCCUUAUAAUUUAAUUCUAACUAGAAGAUUCCCGCGAAAUCGCGGUACAAUUGGGCAAGUGGACGCAAGAGGAGGAUCACUCCGUCACGUUCAACGGCAUUUUUAUUUUUGGACAGUUCUGCACCUGAGUAAAAAGGGUGGAUGUCGUUUAAUUUAGCAAUUUGCCAAAAUGAUGAACUUACAAAACAGGAUCCUUAUAGGCAUAACUGUCCUAAAUUCUAUCCUUUCUUGAAGUUCUUACUUUCACUUGGAUUUCGCGGGCAGUACGUCGACUGAGCAGGCGCGAAAGCAUAUUAGACACGGAUCGAUAACGGUCUCCGAAUUUGGAUAUGUUCUCAAAAAAUUGGCGUUUUCUGUGGAAAAAAGAUUUUUUCAAAGACAAAUUUAGGAAGAACAAAACACUACAUUUAUACAGCCUAUCACAAAUUUUUACCGACUUUGUAUGGGUUUAGAGGAGUUCCGACUCAAUGAAAUCGGUCUCUUCCUUUAGUAGUAUAGAAUCCGUUUUUAACGAGUAAAUCAUGAAAAAACGUUAGCGACGUCACGGCCUAAUGACAAAAGUAUGUCUAUGAGCUGAUACACAAAAUAAUUCAGCCAAUUAGAAGACGUGCUACAUGUACAUCAAAAAUAAAAUUAUCAAAAAAAUAUAGUUAAUGAUACGUAAAAUAACC